rnacentral:rRNA from 1 species
UACGUAGGGUGCGAGCGUUGUCCGGAAUUAUUGGGCGUAAAGAGCUCGUAGGCGGUUUGUCGCGUCGACUGUGAAAACCUACAGCUUAACUGUGGGCUUGCAGUCGAUACGGGCAGACUUGAGUUCGGUAGGGGAGACUGGAAUUCCUGGUGUAGCGGUGAAAUGCGCAGAUAUCAGGAGGAACACCGGUGGCGAAGGCGGUUCUCUGGGCAUGUUCUGACGCUGAGGAGCGAAAGUGUGGGGAGCGAACAGG